UAGAUAGAUAGAUAGAUAGAUAGAUAGAUAGAUAGAUAGACGGUGUAGUUGGCAGGAUUAGAUAGAUAGACAGAUAGAGAGCAUAAUAGAUAGAUAGAUUGUGUAGUUGGCAGGAUUAGACAGAUAGAUAGAUAGAUAGAUAGAUAGAUAGAUAGAUAGAUAGAUAGAUAGAUAGAUAGAUAGAUAGAUAGAUAGAUAGAUAGAUAGAUAGAUAGAUAGAUAGAUAGAUAGAUAGAUAGUGUAGUUGGCAGGAUUAGAUAGAUAGACAGAUAGAGAGCAUAAUAGAUAGAUAGAUAGCGUAGUUGGCAGGAUUAG